CAUAGAUGGUGACGUCACUUCAGUAUUGUGAGUAAGACCGGUGUGUACACAAUGUCUCAGAAAGACGUUUUACGUGUGAUUAUGAGCAAUAUUCUGAAGCUGUUCUGCGAAGCCGAAGGCAAGAGCUGAGCAUCAUACAAGCCAUUCUAUCCAGCAAAACUGACAGUUUUUGUUUACAGAAAUCAACAAAGGAGGGAUUCCUGAUCUAUCAAAUUUCCAAGCUAUACACACAGUUAUUAUCAUGUAGGUUGAUGAUUGUGUUUUAGUUUUACUUAUUUUGUAACUAUUAUUUUAUGUGCAAAUAAAUGAUGUGAAGUGUUUUGUAUCUCCACACAAUACCACAUACCUUUUUAUAUAUGUACUGUGUUAUGUGUUAUUUGAAUGUUUAAAUAAAAAAAAAUGGAUGAUAUAACAUGAUGCAUUCUAAUAUUUGCAUUCAUAUUGUAACUAUAGAGCUAAGUGUAUGCAGUUUAGACUGUGAUUUUAGAAUUGCUACAAAAUGGCUAGUUUUUUAGUGGCGACAAAAUUUAAACUAUUCAACAAUAGUUUGCGAAAGAAAAUUAGAAACCUGCAAGAUACCUGUAUUUAUUAAAUAUUUUAAUUGCGAAUCAAGUAUGUUGUUAUGCUGUUACACAUAAUUAUACAUUGAUAAUAAAUAAGAAGACAAUUA